GAUGAACGCUGGCGGCGUGCCUAAUACAUGCAAGUCGAGCGAACAGACGAGGAGCUUGCUCCUCUGACGUUAGCGGCGGACGGGUGAGUAACACGUGGAUAACCUACCUAUAAGACUGGGAUAACUUCGGGAAACCGGAGCUAAUACCGGAUAAUAUAUUGAACCGCAUGGUUCAAUAGUGAAAGACGGUUUUGCUGUCACUUAUAGAUGGAUCCGCGCCGCAUUAGCUAGUUGGUAAGGUAACGGCUUACCAAGGCAACGAUGCGUAGCCGACCUGAGAGGGUGAUCGGCCACACUGGAACUGGGACACGGUCCAGACUCCUACGGGAGGCACCAGUAGGGAAUCUUCCGCAAUGGGCGAAAGCCUGACGGAGCAACGCCGCGUGAGUGAUGAAGGUCUUCGGAUCGUAAAACUCUGUUAUUAGGGAAGAACAAAUGUGUAAGUAACUAUGCACGUCUUGACGGUACCUAAUCAGAAAGCCACGGCUAACUACGUG
rnacentral:rRNA from 1 species